AGCAGCCGCGGUAAUUCCAGCUCCAAUAGCGUAUAUUAAAGUUGUUGCAGUUAAAAAGCUCGUAGUUGAAUUUCGGGAUCAAUUAAUUGGUCGUGCCUCUGGUACGUACUGAUUUUAUUGGUUUCUCCCUUCUGACGAACCAUGAUGUCAUUAAUUUGGUGUCGUGAAGAAUCAGGACUGUUACUUUGAAAAAAUUAGAGUGUUUAAAGCAAGCUAACGCUUGAAUACAUUAGCAUGGAAUAAUGAAAUAGGACGUUUGAUCCUAUUUUGUUGGUUUCUAGGAUCGACGUAAUGAUUAAUAGGGAUAGUUGGGGGCAUUAGUAUUCAAUUGUCAGAGGUGAAAUUCUUGGAUUUAUUGAAGACUAACUACUGCGAAAGCAUUUGCCAAGGAUGUUUUCAUUAAUCAAGAACGAAAGUUAGGGGAUCGAAGACGAUCAGAUACCGUCGUAGUCUUAACCAUAAACUAUGCCGACUAGGGAUCGGAUGAUGUUAAUUUUUUUAAUGACUCAUUCGGCGCCUU
rnacentral:rRNA from 1 species